rnacentral:rRNA from 1 species
UACGAAGGGGGCUAGCGUUGCUCGGAAUCACUGGGCGUAAAGGGUGCGUAGGCGGGUCUUUAAGUCAGAGGUGAAAUCCUGGAGCUCAACUCCAGAACUGCCUUUGAUACUGAGGAUCUUGAGUUCGGGAGAGGUGAGUGGAACUGCGAGUGUAGAGGUGAAAUUCGUAGAUAUUCGUAAGAACACCAGUGGCGAAGGCGGCUCACUGGCCCGGUACUGACGCUGAGGUGCGAAAGCGUGGGGAGCGAACAGG